GCGGCUAGCUCAGUCGGUAGAGCAUGAGACUCUUAAUCUCAGGGUAGUGGGUCCGAGUCCCACGUCGGGCG
rfam:Schistosoma mansoni strain Puerto Rico chromosome W, complete genome